rnacentral:rRNA from 1 species
UACGUAGGCAGCGAGCGUUGUUCGGAAUUACUGGGCGUAAAGAGUGUGUAGGCGGUGUUCCAAGUCUGGUGUGAAAUCUCCCGCUCAACUGGGAGGGUGCGCCGGAAACUGGAAUGCUAGAGGGUGGGAGAGGUAAGCGGAAUUCCUGGUGUAGCGGUGAAAUGCGUAGAUAUCAGGAGGAACACCUGUGGUGUAGACAGCUUACUGGAUCACUUCUGACGCUGAGACACGAAAGCGUGGGUAGCAAACAGG